UAGGGAAUCUUCCACAAUGGACGAAAGUCUGAUGGAGCAACGCCGCGUGAGUGAAGAAGGGUUUCGGCUCGUAAAACUCUGUUGUUAAAGAAGAACAUAUCUGAGAGUAACUGUUCAGGUAUUGACGGUAUUUAACCAGAAAGCCACGGCUAACUACGUACCAC
rnacentral:rRNA from 1 species